GUUGCAUGACGUAGACCCGAAACCGAGUGAUCUAGCCAUGGGCAGGUUGAAGAUUGAGUAACAUCAAUUGGAGGACCGAACCGACUAAUGUUGAAAAAUUAGCGGAUGACUUGUGGCUAGGGGUGAAAGGCCAAUCAAACUCGGAGAUAGCUGGUUCUCCCCGAAAGCUAUUUAGGUAGCGCCUCGGACGAAUACUACUGGGGGUAGAGCACUGUUAAGGCUAGGGGGUCAUCCCGACUUACCAACCCUUUGCAAACUCCGAAUACCAGUAAGUACUAUCCGGGAGACACACGGCGGGUGCUAACGUCCGUCGUGGAGAGGGAAACAACCCAGACCGCCAGCUAAGGUCCCAAAGUUAUCGCUAAGUGGGAAACGAUGUGGGAAGGCUCAGACAGCCAGGAUGUUGGCUUAGAAGCAGCCAUCAUUUAAAGAAAGCGUAAUAGCUCACUGGUCGAGUCGGCCUGCGCGGAAGAUGUAACGGGGCUAAGCGAUACACCGAAGCUGCGGCAGUGCAAUUUAUUGUAUUGGGUAGGGGAGCGUUCUGUAAGCCGUUGAAGGUGGUCUGUAAGGGCUGCUGGAGGUAUCAGAAGUGCGAAUGCUGACAUGAGUAACGACAAAGGGGGUGAAAAACCUCCUCGCCGGAAGACCAAGGGUUCCUGUCCAACGUUAAUCGGGGCAGGGUAAGUCGGCCCCUAAGGCGAGGCCGAAAGGCGUAGUCGAUGGGAAACGGGUUAAUAUUCCCGUACUGCUGAUAACUGCGAUGGGGGGACGGAGAAGGCUAGGUGGGCCUCGCGACGGUUGUCGAGGUUCAAGUGCGUAGGUGGGUGUCUUAGGCAAAUCCGGGACGCUAUACACUGAGACACGAUGUCGAGCUACUACGGUAGUGAAGUCAUUGAUGCCAUGCUUCCGGGAAAAGCCUCUAAGCUUCAGGUUAUCAGGAACCGUACCCCAAACCGACACAGGUGGUCGGGUAGAGAAUACCAAGGCGCUUGAGAGAACUCGGGUGAAGGAACUAGGCAAAAUGGUACCGUAACUUCGGGAGAAGGUACGCUGCCCAUGGUGAAGUCCCUUGCGGAUGGAGCUGAGGGCAGUCGCAGAUACCAGGUGGCUGCAACUGUUUAUUAAAAACAUAGCACUGUGCAAAAUCGAAAGAUGACGUAUACGGUGUGACGCCUGCCCGGUGCCGGAAGGUUAAUUGAUGGGGUUAGACUUCGGUCGAAGCUCUUGAUCGAAGCCCCGGUAAACGGCGGCCGUAACUAUAACGGUCCUAAGGUAGCGAAAUUCCUUGUCGGGUAAGUUCCGACCUGCACGAAUGGCGUAAUGAUGGCCACGCUGUCUCCACCCGAGACUCAGUGAAAUUGAAAUCGCAGUGAAGAUGCUGUGUACCCGCGGCUAGACGGAAAGACCCCGUGAACCUUUACUACAGCUUGGCACUGAACAUUGAGCCUACAUGUGUAGGAUAGGUGGGAGGCUUUGAAACACAGACGCCAGUUUGUGUGGAGCCGACCUUGAAAUACCACCCUUGUAUGUUUGAUGUUCUAACUUAGGUCCCUUAUCGGGAUUGAGGACAGUGCCUGGUGGGUAGUUUGACUGGGGCGGUCUCCUCCCAAAGAGUAACGGAGGAGCACGAAGGUGGGCUAAUCACGGUCGGACAUCGUGAGGUUAGUGCAAUGGCAUAAGCCCGCUUGACUGCGAGAAUGACGGUUCGAGCAGGUGCGAAAGCAGGUCAUAGUGAUCCGGUGGUUCUGAAUGGAAGGGCCAUCGCUCAACGGAUAAAAGGUACUCCGGGGAUAACAGGCUGAUACCGCCCAAGAGUUCAUAUCGACGGCGGUGUUUGGCACCUCGAUGUCGGCUCAUCACAUCCUGGGGCUGAAGUCGGUCCCAAGGGUAUGGCUGUUCGCCAUUUAAAGUGGUACGCGAGCUGGGUUUAGAACGUCGUGAGACAGUUCGGUCCCUAUCUGCCGUGGGCGUUGGAUGAUUGAGAGGGGCUGCUCCUAGUACGAGAGGACCGGAGUGGACGAACCUCUGGUGUUCGGGUUGUCACGCCAGUGGCAUUGCCCGGUAGCUAAGUUCGGAAUCGAUAACCGCUGAAAGCAUCUAAGCGGGAAGCGAGCCUCAAGAUGAGUCAUCCC
rnacentral:rRNA from 1 species